AACGAACGCUGGCGGCGUGCUUAACACAUGCAAGUCGAACGCGAAAUUUUUCUUCGGAAAGAGAGUAGAGUGGCGCACGGGUGAGUAACGCGUAAGUAAUCUACCCUGGUAUCUGGGAUAACCCACCGAAAGGUGUGCUAAUACCGGAUACGCUGAGUAAUCAGGAAAGGUGGCCUCUUCAUGAAAGCUACUGUACCAGGAGGAGCUUGCGUACCAUUAGCUAGUUGGUAGGGUAAUGGCCUACCAAGGCAACGAUGGUUAGCGGGUCUGAGAGGAUGAUCCGCCACACUGGAACUGGAACACGGACCAGACUCCUACGGGAGGCAGCAGUGAGGAAUAUUGCGCAAUGGGGGAAACCCUGACGCAGCGACGCCGCGUGGAUGAUGAAGGCCUUCGGUCGUAAAUACCUGUCAGGUGGAAGAAGUGUAGUAUACCUAAUACGUGUACUAUUUGACGGUACCACCAAAGGAAGCACCGGCUAACUACCGUGCCAGCAGCCGCGGU
rnacentral:rRNA from 1 species